GGGUGAGUAACACGUGGGUAACCUGCCCAAGAGACUGGGAUAACACCUGGAAACAGAUGCUAAUACCGGAUAACAACACUAGACGCAUGUCUAGAGUUUGAAAGAUGGUUCUGCUAUCACUCUUGGAUGGACCUGCGGUGCAUUAGCUAGUUGGUAAGGUAACGGCUUACCAAGGCAAUGAUGCAUAGCCGAGUUGAGAGACUGAUCGGCCACAUUGGGACUGAGACACGGCCCAAACUCCUACGGGAGGCAGCAGUAGGGAAUCUUCCACAAUGGACGAAAGUCUGAUGGAGCAACGCCGCGUGAGUGAAGAAGGGUUUCGGCUCGUAAAGCUCUGUUGGUAGUGAAGAAAGAUAGAGGUAGUAACUGGCCUUUAUUUGACGGUAAUUACUUAGAAAGUCACGGCUAACUACGUGCCAGCAGCCGCGGUAAUACGUAGGUGGCAGGCGUUGUCCGGAUUUAUUGGGCGUAAAGCGAGUGCAGGCGGUUCAAUAAGUCUGAUGUGAAAGCCUUCGGCUCAACCGGAGAAUUGCAUCAGAAACUGUUGAACUUGAGUGCAGAAGAGGAGAGUGGAACUCCAUGUGUAGCGGUGGAAUGCGUAGAUAUAUGGAAGAACACCAGUGGCGAAGGCGGCUCUCUGGUCUGCAACUGACGCUGAGGCUCGAAAGCAUGGGUAGCGAACAGGAUUAGAUACCCUGGUAGUCCAUGCCGUAAACGAU
rnacentral:rRNA from 1 species